GUUUUGACGGCUGCUGUGUGUUUAAAUGCCAUUCCUUCCUAGCAAGAAAAGAGGUUGUAUUUCAGGACAACAUUAGUGGUUGAGCUAUGUAAAAAUUAUCAUAAUUACAAGAUCUGAUAGCUAUCAGUUUAUUCUAACAACAUUUAUCUGUGAACAGAAAGGUGUGUAGUGUAUUCAAAGUUCAAGCUGAAUCAUUUAAGAGUCUCCACAUUUAUUGGCCAUGGGUAAUUCCUACACAAAGGCAAAUAGUAAACAGGAGCCACGUUCAAUUGUGGCAAGCUGUGAAAUACAGAAUAAGCAAAUAAUGACUGACAAAUCAGGUGUAUUCCAUCCUGGAAAUCAUGAAGCUGAGAUGUGCUAUGGAGGGGAAGCUGAUCUACACAGACAUGUUACCGGCUGUAAGAAGAAUCCAGGUCACAAAGGUUUUAUACCUCUUAAUGAUUUCAACAUAAAUUAUCUCCCCUCACGUUACCACAACGACCUCAUGUUUGAGACAAUCAAAACAUUGGCGGCCCUAACUGUCCAGGUAAAGUCUGAAUUCACCAGUCUAGAGAGACCAGAGUUUAUCCAGACACUCGAGUUCCAUAUCCAUGUUAUAAGGACAGAGGAAGUCACGUGAUGAGGUUAGGAACGGGGAGGGUGUGUGGUGUGUACAAGUACACAGAGAGUGACGGUGACGGAACUUGUCGUUGUGCCAAGUGUCAAGUCUCUGCCACACCCAGCAAAGUGUGGGGGAUGGUUCGUGUGGUGACAGCUAAACACGUGGUGUUUGAUGCCAGUGAGGCAAGACAGACCAGGUGUGUUUUAGGUUUUGAUGACAAUAAAAGUCCAGUGGUCAGUCUUGAUGGCUGGGAAGUGUUGGGUGGGGCAGACAUUAAGAAAGACUGGUGUAUGUUGAGAUAUGUGACAUGUGACUUAGAGUUGGUUGAUGAACUGGACAAGUUGUGUCGGCGCUUUAAUGAUCUAUGUGAGGAAGUAAAGGACAAAUACUGGAGAUUUGUUGGUGUGGACAAGUUGACCGUUAUAGUGUCACAUCCUCAUGGCUGUCCUAAACAGGUCUCUGUAGGAAAAUGGACACACAAACGUGAAAGGGAUGGCGACACCAGGUACUGGUACACAACAUGUACAUGCCCAGGCUCAAGUGGAGCGUUUGUCUACAGGCUGCGAUAUGGCGGGUUGUUGUAUCCCCAUCCCCACAGUGGAUCAAAUUCUGAAGGAAAUUAUAGUGGGGAGAGGUGGGAGUGAUGUAACUGUUAGUUCUCUCCCCUUGUCUACACAAUGUAAACAAACAAAAUGGUGGAAACUUUCCCGUCAUUAAAAUGUUUGUGUUAAGACCUGCAUGUCUUAUCAACAUUUUAUUACAUUUAAAUGAUUAAAACAAAUGUUUUGAUUGAUGUAAACCGUUUAACCGUUAUAAUUUGCAUGUACAUAGAUAGGUUUUAGAUUUUUUUGUUUCAAAUGUUUAACAUAGUUUGUGUACAACUUUUGUCGGCAAAUUGUUGUCAUAUAACUAUAGGCUGGAUAUUACCUGUAAAUUAAAUGAAACCUACCUUUAUAAAUGUCAUAUUCGUACUGCUUGUUUUACAAAAUGUUCACACUAAACGACAUU